rnacentral:lncRNA from 1 species
UCUGGUUUGAUAUCCCUGUGGAAUAUACUGUAAAAACACCACGGCUCUGUUCUUACUGAAAAAAAAAAAGUGCUUCCACAGAGGGCAACACAUCCUUCAGUUGCAAUUUUGCCAUCAGCUCACAAAUUUUGAUUUCUGUAUUUGCUAUUUAACAAAUUACAAAAGUUUUUGCCCAAGCCAUUGAGCCAGUUUGGGGCUGGCUGACAAACGUCUUCCUGUUACCUGGCAACUGGCAGAGAGGAUGCGUGGGAGCUGCAGGAGGGCUGAGUCAGUGCGCCUGUGUCGGUGACAGCAGCAGCAGCUCAACAAAGUGAAGUGGGGUGGGAAAGGGAAAGAGGACUCCUUUAGAACUCCUCUUUCUAGGUUUUCUGUCGUUUUACUCACCAACACAAAAACUGUUGCUAAAAUUGAGACCUUCAUCUUCAAGCAACUACUAAUUUCCAAAAAGCUUCCAGAAUGCAGCUUGUCAACAAGUUCAUCCUCCCAUACAUCUUGUGUGGUAGGUUUGUUAGUUAGUAAAUAUAUUUUUUAUCCUC